rnacentral:rRNA from 1 species
AAGCGUCAGUCUCUUGUCCAGGGGGCCGCCUUCGCCACCGGUAUUCCUCCAGAUCUCUACGCAUUUCACCGCUACACCUGGAAUUCUACCCCCCUCUACAAGACUCUAGCUUGCCAGUUUCAAAUGCAGUUCCCACGUUAAGCGCGGGGAUUUCACAUCUGACUUAACAAACCGCCUGCGUGCGCUUUACGCCCAGUAAUUCCGAUUAACGCUUGCACCCUCCGUAUUACCGCGGCUGCUGGCACGGAGUUAGCCGGUGCUUCUUCUGCGAGAUAACGUCAAUGUGAUGUGCUAUUAACACACCACCCUUCCUCCUCG